GGCGAUUAAACAGAUGCAUUGACAAGAUUUUCUCUCCCAGGUGGUGUGAUGCCUGAUAUUUGAGUCCUCUCCAUCACAAGUGAUUUCGCUUUUAUUGAGAGGUUGGCUAUUGAACUGGGAAGCUUUCUCCAAAUUGAUUCAUAAAUAAACCGACUUCAAUCUGCUACGGUUAGUGAUAGAACUUAGAAAAGCUAGAUCAUCAUCUAACCCCGACUCCCAAACUAUUGUUACCCAAAUUUAGCCACCAGAGAUUUUCGAGGCCAUUAAAAUGAAUAGACACUUUUCCUGUAAAUAAUUACCGGAUAUGUCCAAUUUCCCGAUCUUUGAAGCGUUGACUAAUGAAUUU
rnacentral:misc_RNA from 1 species